UAAGUUGAAAUAUUAUUAAUUGAAAGAUGAAUGAAGAUUACUACCAGUGAAGAACAUUUGUGAGUGUAUGACGUGCCCAUAAGAUGCCACAUUUUCCUCCAUAAUGAACUGUGUACUAAUGAAGAUGAUUCUGGAAUGUUAUGAUGAACUGUGUACUAAUGAAGAUGAUUCUGGAAUGUUAUGAACAUUGACAUUGAAUAUGAGGAACUGUCAAGUUAGGAUGAAGAUGUCAAGAUGAAGAUGUCAAGAUUU